CACGUAGUUAGCCGUGGCUUAUUCAAGGGGUACCGUCUUCUGCUCUUCCCCCUUAAAAGAAGUUUACAACCCGAAAGCCUUCUUCCUUCACGCGGCGUUGCUGGGUCAGACUUGCGUCCAUUGCCCCAAUAUUCCCCACUGCUGCCUCCCGUAGGAGUCUGGGCCGUAUCUCAGUCCCAAUGUGGCCGGUCAACCUCUCAGUCCGGCUACUGAUCGUCGCCUUGGUGGGCCGUUACCUCACCAACUAGCUAAUCAGACGCGAGGCCAUCUUUCAGCGAUAAAUCUUUGGUAUCAGUACCAUGCGAUUCCGAUACAUCAUGCGGUAUUAGCAGUCGUUUCCAACUGUUGUCCCCCUCUGAAAGGCAGGUUCCUCACGCGUUACUCACCAGUCCGCCACUAAGCAUUCCCUUCCGUUGUCCGAAAACUCCUUCAGGGUGCUCCGUUCGACUUGCAUGUGUUAAGCACGCCGCCAGCGUUCGUCCUGACGCCAGGAUCAAACUCU
rnacentral:rRNA from 1 species